rnacentral:rRNA from 1 species
UUGACCUCGGAUCAGGUAGGGAUACCCGCUGAACUUAAGCAUAUCAAUAAGCGGAGGAAAAGAAACCAACCGGGAUUGCCCCAGUAACGGCGAGUGAAGCGGCAAGAGCUCAAAUUUGAAAGCUGGCCCCCCCGGGGUCCGCGUUGUAAUUUGCAGAGGAUGCUUCGGGAGCGGCCCCCGUCUAAGUGCCCUGGAACGGGCCGUCAUAGAGGGU